UGGGGAAUAUUGGACAAUGGGCGAAAGCCUGAUCCAGCCAUGCCGCGUGUGUGAAGAAGGUCUUCGGAUUGUAAAGCACUUUAAGUUGGGAGGAAGGGCAUUAACCUAAUACGUUAGUGUUUUGACGUUACCGACAGAAUAAGCACCGGCUAACUCUGUGCCAGAAGCCGAGGUAAUACAGAGGGGGCAAGCGUUAAUCGGAAUUACUGGGCGUAAAGCGCGCGUAGGUGGUUUGUUAAGUUGGAUGUGAAAUCCCCGGGCUCAACCUGGGAACUGCAUUCAAAACUGACUGACUAGAGUAUGGUAGAGGGUGGUGGAAUUUCCUGUGUAGCGGUGAAAUGCGUAGAUAUAGGAAGGAACACCAGUGGCGAAGGCGACCACCUGGACUAAUACUGACACUGAGGUGCGAAAGCGUGGGGAGCAAACA
rnacentral:rRNA from 1 species